ACCCAUCAAUCUAUGUAUCUACCUACCUAUUUAUAUUUAAAUAUUGGUUACAGAGGAGAGUCAAUACUGAGUGUAUCACUGCCCUUCACACCUACAACCUUCCCAAAUCACUGAGAAAUGUGGUUUCAGAUAAUGUGCCCUCCUCCUUCUUAUUUUAAUUUUAAUUCCCUCCUGACUUUAGCUGGUCAACCCUAGCCAAGAACAAACACAAGCAGCAGAUCCAUGGGACUGGGGAAGGUUGCCCGCAUUGAGCUCCCUGCUGGCGCCUUCUGGCUGGACAGUCCGUGCCAAAUAGCGCCUAGGGGAAAAAAAAAACAGCAAGAAGGAACUCGACAGAUGCGGUUGCGGCACGUCUAGGACCACAAUUUGACGGAAAAGGAGAGUGGAGGAGGGUAGCCGGCUGAGAGUCUGCAUCUGGGAGACGCAGCAAUGGAACCAGUGGCAAUGUGUGCGCGCACAGGUGCCACAGGCCUGGCGAGCAAUGCUGUGUCUCUGCAGCCUCCCGGCUCAACACACGCGGCGGCUUGCUGAAACUGCAUCCGCAGCCGAGCGUGGGUACUCCAAGCUACAGACACCGGAGGAAGAGCGGAAGGAAAGGGCGCGAAGGGGGAAGCAUGGAGUGGCAGGUUUUGGGGGCAAGACUCAUAGGCUCAUUUCCGAGCUCCUCUGGUGGGAACCUGUACCCGACUGCUAUGCUCCUCCCUUCUUUUCCCAACUCUCGGUGAUCAUCUCCGUCUCCCCUCGCGCAUCCCUUCCCCCCUCCCUGCUUUCUUUGCUCUCCCUCCCUGCCGCGUGCCUGCUCCCCUCCCCCUCUCCUGUCUGCUCUGGGCAGCGGCAACCUCGGCAGCCUGGGAGAUGGGAAGAGAGCGCGCGGGGCGCUGCACCUCUGGAGCCACCGAUCUUUCCUACUCCGGUGCCCUGAGCCCCCGCCGCCGCUCUCGCCCCCUGGCUACCCACCGAUUCCCGCUACGCUGCUAGGACAGCGCCGCCACCACCGCCAGCCCUCGUCCCGCCCGCGCCUCUCUGCCCUCGCGCGCCCUGGAUGGAGCUUUCCCUUGCUGGGAUCGAUUUAGAAUGUGAUAAGUCAAGUAUCUGAACACAGUGGAGUAGUUCAACACUCAUCUCAGCUUUCCAUGCUAUGUUCUCUACAGUG